UGAGGAAUAUUGGUCGAUGGGCGCAAGCCUGAACCAGCCAUCCCGCGUGAAGGAUGAAGGCCCUAUGGGUCGUAAACUUCUUUUAUACACCAAGAAAAAGCAGGACGAGUCCUGCCCCGACGGUAGUGUAUGAAUAAGCAUCGGCUAACUCCGUGCCAGCAGCCGCGGUAAUACGGAGGAUGCGAGCGUUAUCCGGAUUCAUUGGGUUUAAAGGGUGCGUAGGCGGCUUUUUAAGUCAGUGGUGAAAUCUUGCCGCUUAACGGUAAAAUUGCCAUUGAUACUGAUAAGCUUGAGUACAAUUGAGGUAAGCGGAAUGUGUAGUGUAGCGGUGAAAUGCUUAGAUAUUACACAGAACACCGAUUGCGAAGGCAGCUUACUAAACUGUCACUGACGCUGAUGCACGAAAGCGUGGGGAGCGAACA
rnacentral:rRNA from 1 species